UGCCAAGUAUGCAGCACGUUGAUGUUUUUCUCGUUGUCACAACGCAUUGCAUACAUGACAAAU
rnacentral:pre_miRNA from 1 species